rnacentral:RNase_P_RNA from 1 species
CAGAUAAGUUGGAUGGCUACCCCGAUUUUUAAAUCGGGGAGGAAAGUCCGAACACUCUUUGAUCGUUAAGAUUAAAGUCAUGGUAGUGGGUAACGCCCACCUGCUAUGUCGCAAGGCAUAGUAAGGACAAGUGCCACAGAGACAAUACUAGCCAUAGCUUCGCUUUGUAAAUUACAAAUCCAAAAUAUCAAGCUCCAAAUUAAUUUGUAAUUUAUUUGAUAUUUGUAAUUUACAAUUUGGAAUUUAUAGAGCAAAGCUAUGGUGAAAGGUGAAAAGUGUCAUGGUGUUUUAGGCUAAGAAUGGGAUAUCCCCUUAAUCUAAAGCUACACGACUCGGCUGUCGGCGACCGGCAGUUUGCGGUAAACUCUACCUGGUGCAACCCCAAAUACAGUAGGGGGCUAGAACUGGCCAGCAAUGACCAGUCAAGAUAGAUUGCCAUCUCCCAUGUGGGGAACAGAAUUCGGCUUAUAGGCUUAUCUGGACA